AAACAAAGAAAACAAUCUGAAGUUGUCUUUGUUUUUAAGUUAUUGUGCCGUCAUUUUACCAGUCCGGCCCACAUGUGAGUAGAUAUUUCUCCAUGUGGCCCCCGCUCUAAAAUGAGUUGGACACCCCUGGUUUAGGCGGUAUAUCAACAACUUACCAUGAGUUUCUUGAAGAACUCCAACUGUUGGACAGAACGCCUUCUAUGUCUGUCAAAGGAGCUGACUUUGAGAGGACUCUUUCGGACCAGCAGGACAAAGCUCCCAGCCAGAAAACACAGCAGGGCGAAGGACACAUAGAUGAAAAGCUUCAGGAAGAAAGAGGUCAGGGACAGGCCUCCCCAUGCUAGCUGGAACACUACUGCUGCCACCACACCCAGGAGGAAAGCUGGGACAAACCGGAAAGAGGAGGCAAGAGACGAGGAAGAGCUGGCAGACGUGGGUUCCUCUUCUUCACCGGCACUGCUGCUCCUGCAGGCCAAGUGUGUUGUGGUAGAUGAGGGGGUGGGCAUGCUGGGACCCCACCAUCCAUAUAUGUGUCGGGCAGAAAAGUUGACUGCCUUGUCCGGAUGUCUCGUUGGAGAGCAUCCGCCCUCCCGGCGGGCACGGACACGCAGUCCCGCUCCUUUCGUCAUCUAAACAGUGGUCGUCCAGGCAGUGCCGGGGGUUGGCCUUGAGUGGACAGCUUGAAGGCAGAAUUGGAUGAAUGGAGCCGCAAACAGCGUCACCUUGGAGACCAAUAAAGACUGUGGUGGCCCAAGAUAGCCGACUCCACUCUCGGCCAGUGUCCAGUCCGAAUAGAUGAGCGAGGAUACGUCCAAGGUGACUGAGGUGUCUGACACCUGCUCACCCAGCCAAGACACCGCGAAGCCUCUCCCUCCCAGCGCUCAGUGCUAGCUCUGCAGCCCUGUCCCCUCAUCCGCACCUCCUCCAGUCCCUCCAAACUGACUCCGGUGUGGCAGACACCCAGCAGCUGGUCUCCAUGGCCAAAAGGGUCCCGGGAGGCAGAUCCAGAAGUCCACAAAAAAGCACCACACGAGGUCGCUAAAGUGCCACCCCUUGUCACACAGUCCCAAAGGGUCCCGGACCAAAAGGCAAAAAAAUAUAAUACAUGAAAACAAGAGGGAAACACAAAAGGAUGACACAAGAGCACAGAGCUCCUGCCAACAGCAGCCACUACAGCAGCGCCAUCUUGGAGAAAAAUGGCUGACCAUAUGAUUGAGUGCGUUUAAGGCGAAUCUUUCAGUCCUCGAAGCCAUCAGAUAGCUAAGACAUCCAAAGAGAUAAAGCAUACAUUGCUGGAUUUUCCCCGCACAGUAUGGACACGCUGAGCUGUCAACAGCGGCGAAGGCGCGGAGAGGGGGUCGUUUUGUAGCUUUUGGCUAGAGGUCAGGCCUCUCGCAGACUUUUCUAAAGCAGAUUAACCUGAUACUAGAAUAAACAAAAACAAAAGUGAUGAAUCCCUAAACAUCUCAGGCUUGGCUGAUGACUCAAACAUUGGGCCUAUUGAUCUCCACUCAAGCAUCCCGCGGGGCGAGUUCCUUCUCUCACUGGGGGCCUCUCUGAACAGGCAACACACAGUGCCUAACAAAUGGAGUAAUGACUUUGCUUUGCUGUUUUAACAAGGUGUGGGCCAUAAAAUAUCUCUUAGCCUCAUGACGAGGCCCACUUGAUUAUCAAUGGCGAUCUGGCAACAUACUACUUCACCGCUGAGGGGCUGCUGGUGUCUACACGUGCAGGUCAGGACAUUUAGCUACAAUGAGGGCAUGUCACUCUACAGAUACUUCCUAACCACUCUGAAAUAAAGUAGAUGAAACACACACUCUCAAAUGAGGCAUCUUUAAUGCCGACAUUUGAACGUACUGUAUGUCAGACACUUUUUCAACAAUGAUUUUUUGAUGCCUUCUCCAAAACCUUUGACUGAAGUUACAUUACUUAGACUUAGACAAACUUUAAUUAUCCACAAGGGAAAUUGUUCAACACAAUAGCUCAGUUACAAUGAUGGAAAGUGUAAGGAUGGAAAUGACAAUGCUGCUAUAAACAGACUAGAUAUAGCAAUAUAAAAUAUAACAUAUCUGCAAAUAUAUACAAUAUAUACUUAAUAUUUGUACAGCAUGUUAUGUAUACAGAUAUAUUAUGUCUAUAACAUGUAUAUAAUAUAUACCAAUUACCAUGUACAAUAUUACAGUAUAUGUGGCAGCCCAAGCAUAAAAUAGAGUAGAUCCAGCAGAAAAUAGAAUAUAGACAUUAAAAACAAAGAGAAGUAGAUGACAGAGGGUGUCAGGUAACGGACGGAUAUCAUCUAUUGCUGUAUGGGGAGUGAUUAUUAACAUACACAGUGAUUAUACAUAUUACCAAAAAUGUUAUUUCAAUGGGACCACUCAGUAAAUAAGUUAAUCACUGUAUUGUAACCCCAAGUAAAAUUAGCUUUACAAGUGUGCCUCUCUAAAAAACAAAACAUAAGGCACUCACACUCAGAUACAUAUUGUCAUAUUUCUGUUCUAACAUAUUAAGGGCCUGAUCUACUAAAGGUGUGCAUGUGCUAAAACACGUGCAAACAUAAUAGCAUAUGCAAAGCUGACCUACGAAGGUCAUGAGCAAAGGAUUGUGUCUUAUAAGUGAGCCAAAUAAGGUGAACAAACCAUUUAGUGUGACUGUCUUCAUGAUCGUUGUGGUAAAGAAGGAGCUGAGCCGGAAGGCAAAGCUCUCAAUUUACCGGUCGAUCUACGUUCCCAUCCUCACCUAUGGUCAUGAGCUUUGGGUCAUGACCGAAAGGAUAAGAUCACGGGUACAAGCGGCCGAAAUUAGUUUCCUCUGCCGUGUGGCGGGGCUCUCCCUUAGAGAUAGGGUGAGAAGCUCUGCCAUCCGGGAGGAACUCAAAGUAAAGCCGCUGCUCCUUCACAUCGAGAGGAGCCAGAUGAGGUGGUUCGGGCAUCUGGUCAGGAUGCCACCCGAACGCCUCCCUAGGGAGGUGUUUAGGGCACGUCCAACCGGUAGGAGGCCACGGGGAAGACCCAGGACACGUUGGGAAGACUAUGUCUCCCGGCUGGCCUGGGAACGCCUCGGGAUCCCCCGGGAAGAGCUAGACGAAGUGGCGGGGGAGAGGGAAGUCUGGGUUUCCCUGCUUAGGCUGUUGCCCCCGUGACCCGACCUCGGAUAAGCGGAAGAUGGAUGGAUGGAUGGAUGGAUGGAUGUCUUCAUGAUGAAGCAAAAUAUGUGAUGAUCAUCAGAACAGCCACAACACUGGGAGGAGAAAAUGCAUACAUAUCGUUGAGCACGUGCAAUUUGAUUUAUUAAGACUAAAACGGUUCUGCAGGAGUGGCCAGCGCUGUAAAAUCAGCUGGGCAGAGAAUCCUUUGUCCUAUGUGUGUGAGUGAAGAAAUAUAGACUGUCCUAAAUGAAAAAUAUUAAACAUAUUGUCUAUUAAGCAAUAUCAUUUUAUUAUUUUAUAGAUACUGGAUGAUUUAAGGGGCUAAUCAAAACCAAUUCAAUUGAUGCAUUUUUUUGCCUUUGGAUCAUUCCAGACACAUUAAAGUUAAAGUUUAACUUUAACAAUGAAUGUGUCAGAGUUAUUUGGUGACGAACCCCAAGAUGCAGAGAUGGAGGCAGGCAUUGAAUGGGAAAACAUGGUUUUAAUUUAAAAUACUACAACUAGAACAAACAAAGGGUACAAACAAAAAGCACGCAUGUGGGCGGAUAUAACAAACUAAGGGCUAUGAACCAACAAAUCAGAAGCAGGGAACAAAAAACAGUAAGCUACAAACAUUUGCCAAAUAUAGCUUACCGCUAUGCUGCAAUCACAGGACCAGUAGGAAUGACAAGUAGAAAAUGAUAUUGACACGACAAUACAAUGAUCCAGGCCUGACUGGAGGAACAAAGCAGGUAAAAUAGGAGCUGGCUGAUUGACAUCAGGUGUGACCAGAUGCCAAUCAGCCACAGCUGAGUGAAAACAGGACACAGGGAGGCAGACAGGAAGCCGAACCAAAAUAAGAGCACUAGACAGGAACUAAGGACAGGAAAUACUAAACACAGAGGAAACAAACAAAAGCAGAGGAAAAAACUAAAACAUAGUCAAACUGUCAGAGGAAAGCCUGACAGAAUGUGGAGGGAAAUUAGUGUUUCAAUGGACACAUAAUGCCAGUGGUACAUGCAAAAACCUCAUUUAAAGUACCAGUAGAGUGGAAAAACAAGUUGAAUUUAUAUGCUUAAUUGUGUUUCAUUGUAACCAUUAAACCAUAUCCAUAAACCAUAAACAUCACAAAAUGCCACAAACUUAGUUAGCCAUUUGAAUAUUCCACUCCGUACAUCUAUGGUGAUUUCCGUAGAUAGACGUCAAUGGAGAAACACUCUCUGACCAUAGUAUCAGAUCAGUCAUACUGGAAAUGUGUUUCAUUGUUUCAUUAAAAAUUCUCAAAUUUUUCGCUGUGUCGUUAUCCAAUAUGUCGGCUGUUCUGUUUUGGAUUUCCCAGCGUCGCUCUCAUCAGCGUCACGGGUUGAUUUCAAUGCCCCGCCUUCUGAAAUACAUCUACUGAGAAGUCCCAGAUCCUUGUGUGGAGCUCAGCGAACUACAAGAAUCUGGCGAGAGUCAGUUUUCAGAUCAAUAUCCUUGAAAGUCAGACACAUUCACACACUGAUGGCGGGAGCUGCCAUGCAAGGCCCUAACCACGACCCAUAAGGAGCAAGGGUGAAGUGUCUUGUCCAGGGACACAACGGACGUAAUUUCGAUGGCGGAAGCUUGGAUCAAACAUGGAACACUUAAGUGGAUGACACACCACCGCUCGCGCUGGGCGUAGCACGCCCACACAGCGACAAGGCUGCAGUCAAUCACUCAUCAGCGCACCUGGGCCUGACGAGAGGGAGCGGCAUAAAUAGUCACCGAAGCCAGUAGACCUUCGCCAGAACGUAGCCAAUCUCGCCUGAUGUCUUCCGUGAUCGUGUCUUGCCUCACGACCUGCUCCCGGAUUUUCGCUUACCUUCCCCGAUCCUUGACCACUGUUUGGGCCCUGACAUCGUUGCCUCUCUUCAGCCCCUGACUGCUUGCCUCCCUGCUGACUACCUCUUUGCCUUCCCCUUUGGAUUCAACGAAAGAUACAUCCAACACGCACUGACAACACCCUCUGUUAAACCCCACAUUGUUAAUUCCACACAUCGUCUGCAUUCACCCACUAGUGGUGGCAUACACAUCCCACACAUUCAUCAAAGGUUUAAAUAAACCUUCGAAAAUGCA